UUUAAGGAUAGCCUCAGCUACAUAGUUUAAGGAUAGCCUCAGCUACAUAGUUUAAGGAUAGCCUCAGCUACAUAGUUUAAGGAUAGCCUCAGCUACUUGAGAGCCCAUCUUGUCUCAAUAAAAAAUAAAGUACAAUACAAUACGAUACGAUACAAUACAAUACAAUACAAUACAAUACAAUACAAUACAAUACAAUAAAACAGAGAAGAUAUUACUGAGUAGAACAAUAUUUUGGUCUCUGUUUCUGCACAAUACACAACUGAUUUCUGGUUUUUAUCUUAUUUCUAGAGCAGGCAUUUGUGUCUAUGUUUUAGCCCUGCAUUUGUGAUUCCCGUUAUGUUUGUCUUUCGGUAGCUUUUGCAUUACCCACCUCUGUAUGGGAUACACUCUGGAAUAAGUGAUACUUAGUAAGUCAUAUUUUAAACUAAACGGCUUGGUCUAAUUUAUGAAGCCAUUUGGACUGGAAGAGCCCUACAGCGAACCACAUAGCUCAUCCCCCCUUUCCUAGCAUAGUGGGAGAGAUUUUUAUUGUCUAUAAAAUCCAUUCUGGGUGGGUAUCUAUUCUCAGCCUUCAUUAUCUCUGGUGUUAGCGAUUCCACAGCCUCCCUUGGCAGUCUUCCCUAUUGCUGAGCUAGCCUUGCUUAUUAAUCCUGUAAUAAUACCUUAUGUUCUCCAAAUAUUGAGGCAAUGCUCAUCUCCCCUGCUACCUGAUCCCUCCCUGACCACCCUUCGAAAUGGUUCUGGUGUGUGCGCGUGUGUGUGUGUGUGUGUGUGUGUGUGUGUGUGUGUAGGUGACUAAGUAAGCACACAGUAACAAAUGAUGUGGUAUGUACUCUUGUCCUGAGGCAUUGUGCAAGGGGCUCCUUAGGAUGGACAUUGUCAGUCCAUAGAAAAUUAAGCUAUUAAAUCUGCAGCACCAGGGUGGUGAUGGACUGGCUCUUGCCAUGGGAUGAAAUUGCUUUGCAGACAUAUGAAUUUUACAGCCAGGAGUGCUCAUCCCUCCUUGUGCACGUUAAUGGUAUUGAUAGAUUAAUGUGAUGAUUUAGGGGCGAUUGCUGAUUUGUCUGUGCUGGUUUGGGGCCAAGAGCGUCAACUAGACCGGUCCUAGCAGGGUCCGGUCCACAGCUUGUCCUGGGAACAGAACUGAUUACACACAGAUGCAGGAAGAUGACUCAGUUGGUAAAGUGCAUUCUCUGCUCGCGUGAGUACCUGAGUUCAAACUUCACGACUCAUGAAAAACAGAUGGGUGUGGCAGCGAACACUUGAAAUCUCAACAUCAAAAAGGCAGAGACUGGAGGAUUCCUAGGGUGCCUAGGCCAGCUAGCUUAGCCUCCUCUGUGAGCACCAGGCCAAUGAGAGAGGUGAAAAGCAUCUAUGUAACAGCAACACAGUUUGUCUUUGGGAUACACACACAUGCAUACACACACACACACACACACACACACACACACACACAAGUGCAUGCUCACAUAUACACAGUGUGCACCACACACAGACAUGUCAUCAUGUACAUCUACAUACCUAAAUACUGUAUUUUAAAACUAUUUUACUCUUUUAAUUGUUUUUCGUGUGUGUGUGCAUGUGUGUGUGUGUGUGUGUGUGUGUGUGUGUGUGUGUGUGUGCGUGCGUGCGUGCAUGCACUAUACAGAGUAUGUGGCAGUCAGAGGACAAUAUUCGGGAAUCCAGUCUCUCUCCACCAUGUGGGAUCUAGGGAUCAAAGUCUGGCGCCUUUAUCCACUGAGCCAUCUCAUUGGCCCACAAAAGUUGUCAACGUGGGGAUUGGACAAGGAGCCUGAGCUUAGCAAUCUGUCCUUCUGGAAGCUGGCACCAUAGCGGUCUAUCCUUCAACCCUCUUGCCUUGCUCCGUGCUUCUAUCCCAAGCUAGCAGUGUGUUGCUUGUGCUGGUUGGCAUGGCUUGUGUUUUCUUCCGAGGACUUCCCAGGACGGCUACAGAGUUGAGGCGACUGAAGUUCAUGCCUCCUCUGGUCCACGUGAAAUCUCACAUCCUUCCGUGUGCCUGAAGACAAGCUGUGACAUCCAACUUCCAGCCUGUGCCUCUCUGGUGGGCUCUUAACUGGAGGAAUUGUUUCUAGGAAAAUUCACCUUCUCGUGCCUCCCUUUCUCUGAUGACAGCACCAGAUGAGCGUAAGCAUUUUAGCCUAGGAGCCUCUGAGAUCCUCUUCUUUGCAUCUAGAAAAGUGCACUCCGGACCUCAGGCUUCACUCUGCAGUCUACCUGCAGUGUGGCUAGCUGAUUUGGUUUCUGUGGACGUUGUUCUCGUGGCAAACGCAUCGGGUCUCACACAUACAGACAAGAAGCAUCGGAUCUCACACAUGCAGACAAGAAGCAUCGGGUCUCACACAUGCAGACAAGAAGCAUCGGGUCUCACACAUACAGACAGGAAGCUUUGUUCCGGGAUUGACUACCUUGGACUUGAAUUGUGCUGAGGUCACAAAAGUUACUCAGUUUUCAGACCGAGCAAGGUCCACUGUGGGGAAUUCACUUUGGAGGAAGUAUUAGUCCCCAUCUUCUGAACCUGAGGUGUCUAUCAAUUAGAGUGUGAAUCACACACUCCAGAAACAAUAGAUGAGUUUGACUUUCAAGUGGGGCAUGAGUCUUUGCACUCCCCUCACUGGGAGCUCAAGUGGCUUGUCCUGCCUCAUAGCUACCUGGUUACCACGGCGGAAGGCCUGUGUUCCUGGGAGUAGACAGUCCUCCGCCCACUCCCCUCUGUCCCCCUUGCCCUCUCUUGCUCUGUUCCUACAACACUGUAAGAUUUCUAUUAUUUCACUCAAAUAAAAUGUGCAUACCCAGCCCAGUUGAUACAAAAGCAUGAGAAAAGUUAAAGACCAAUAGCAAGUAAGAAACUGAUGUAUUUUGACAUGAAGCAAAUGAAGAUCUUAAUGUUUCACAUUGUUUUCCUCCCUAGAAUCUUUAUCCACAAAUAAUAUAUGGGGUCUUGUAACCAGCCGCAGAAUAAUGCCAAAUGGGAGAGAGUUCUUCUCACCAAACCCUCACAGUGUAUUUUACUUCCACAACAGCCUGUGGGGAGGACAGGUCUAGUCACUGUCAGUGUCCUUGCUCCAACCCCAGCACAAGUCCAUUGUGUAUCUGAGUGUGUGUCUUCGGCUGACAUGCUGUAGGAAUGCAAACUGGGAAACAUGCUUUAUCUGAGAAAUGGAGGCCUCACUUUUUUUUUUUCUUUGAAGAAUGAAAGCAGAUCUGAAUAUGCCACGAAUUAGCCUGAGGCACCCAAGACAACUUGCCUGGUCAUGAAUGUUCCAGAAACUAUUGUUGCAAUUUAGAACAGCAUGCUCAUUGUAGUGUGGCUGUUUCUUUUAGCACUAAGUCCUGAGAUGAAUAGCUGAGGGCUCCAGUCAUCCUCUCUCUUUUUCCCAGAAUGCCCUUCACAUGGGUGGUGUGUCACAAAUGGUUUCGCAUCACCUGGGACUCUAUUUCUUGUGUUUUCUCAGAGCAAUUUUCCAAGGUCCUGUCCCAAAUACAUAAUUGAUAACAUUGAAAACUAAGCAAGGAAAUUGUAUUUACGUAGCCUGUUUCUGCAAUCAUUAGCAGGCUGACUUUGCGGUGAGAAUUCAGAGUCUAAUUAGCUUAGGACUAUGUUCUAGGAUGCUGGCAUGCCCCUGUGGCAGAUCUACAGGUCGUUACUUUCUCAGCUACUCUCUGAACCAUACGGGAAUCCUAGGAGUAGAAAGUACACAUCGAAGCACUUUCAUACCAGGAACACCUAACCAUUAAUCCUUUAACUAUGCAUUCCUUCUGUUUGAUUGGCAUCUUCUUAGAAGUAUGUGAGUGUGUGUGUGUGUGUUCCAUAUGUAGAGUCCUAUUUGCACCGGUUGCUGUUCUUUCAGAGGGAAAAAAAAGUAAGCAAGGAGGUGCACUUUCAUCUCUUUGCUGAGAUAAAGCAUCAUUUCCUAAAGUAACUUGGGGGAAAAGGGGGUCUAUUUGGCUCAUAAUCACAGGUUAUACUCCAUUAUUACUAGGAAGUGUCCGCGGUAAGGGGCUUGAGGCCACUGGUCAUACGUAUAUAUCCAUAGAUCAAAUGCACCCAUGUUGUCUACUUGUUUUCAUCUAGCCAUCUCCUGUUCUAUAUAGUUCAGAACCACCUGCCCAGGGAAUGGUGCUGCCCGAAGUGGGCUGGGGUCACCUCACAUCAAUUAAUAAUCAAAAUGACACCCUCUCCCAGAUGUGGCCACAGACUAACCUGAGCUGGAUAGCUCCUCAUUAGGCCUCUCCCCAGAUGAUUCUAGGUGAGUCAAGCUGACAUUAAAAAACAAAAAACAAAAAAGACUAUCAAGGUUCUGUCAAGCUCUAAAGCUAGAUUCAGCUCAUCUAGGCCUGUCCUUUUCAUGGCCUGAUCCAACCUGGAACAUUAUUUCCUUCAUUUGUCAACAGAGAUGAGACAAGCCACAGUUAUUCGCAUCUAGGUCACCCUGACAAGUUUGUGCUCCAUUAGAAAGAAAGCAGGGAUGCCCAAUGCCAUCUCAUGUUACUACACUGUGGUGAGCAAUACAAUAUUCAUUGUGAGGAAGACAUCUUCAGAGACCAUUGCAGAACCUCAGAAGUGCAAAUGAAAGGUAAUAUUCCACUAUAGUCUUGGCAAAGCCUUUUUAACUCUAAAGGACAUCAAAACCAAAUAAGGCCAAGGAGACAGGUCAGUGGGUAAAGCCCCUGGAAAGCAAUGUGUGAAGGACCCCCAGAGCCCCCAUAAAGCCAGACAGGAUAGCAUGUGUCUGGUGUCCAUAAUCCCAGGGCUCCCUAUUAUCAGGAAAAUGACAGAGAAAUCUCCAGAGCUCCUUGGCCAGCUAGCCCUGCUUAUACAAUAGCGAGCAACAAAAGACCCUGUCUUAAGAUGGAAGGUAAUGAACCCAUCUGAGCUGUACUCUGGCUUCCAUGGACAACCAGGGGCUCACAGAGUCUCAUAGGCAUCCACUUUAAUACAUGAACAUACCACGCACAUGCACACGCACUUGACCAUGCACAUGCACUCUCGUGCGCGCACACACACACACACACACACAAACACACACACACACACACACACAGAGAGAGAGAGAGAGAGAGAGAGAGAGAGAGAGAGGCGAGCACAUGCACACAUGAUUUAAAACAAACAGUAACAACUUCUACCAGUUGACUGAGGCUUGAGAUAUUUUCCAAAGGGUGUUGUACGUGCUGAAGUUUUGUCUCAAUUGCCUAGCUGCUGUGUAGAAAGGAAUGUGGUAUUUCCUUUAUUAAUUGGAUUAGGCUAUAAGUUUAAUAUGGCUCCCGGUUCUUCACAGGCUAGCUCCAAAGUCUUGAUUAGUUCAUGUUUACAGGAAGAAAAGUCCGUGCAAGUCAGUGGGGAAGCUGCAAAGCAGAUGGCUGUGUUUAGCAUUUCUGUGGUCAGAUGAACCGCGUUUGCUUCCAGUCCUAGAAUGGAAGAGGAGUUGCUCAACUCUUGGAUUAUGCCUUUAUUUUCCUCAUCUGUUCAGUGGGAGUACAUUGAUGUCUAAACUACUUACCAUAGGACACCUAGAAAAUACUAGUUAAUAUUAAGGGUAAAAUCCUGUGUGAAACAUAUUUUUAUCUUUAGCUUGUAUGAUGAUAAUCUAAGUUUGUUUUGUUUUGUUUUGUUUUUACUGUACCAAAUUAUAAUACAAAUAUAACUUAGUGUUUGAGGUUCCAUCCAGAUUUGAGAGUAUAAAUGUGUCUUUAAAAAUACGGGGAGUUAGCCAGCAUGGUGGCAUAUACCUUUAAUCCUAGCACUUGGCAGGCAGAGGCAGGCAGAACUCUGUGAGUUCAAGGCUAGCCUGGUUUACAGAGUGAGUUCCAGGACAGCCAGUACCGCACAAAGAAACUGAGUCUUACAAAACCAAACCAAACAAAACAAACAAGAAUAUGAGGAGCUGAUGAGCUGCCUCAGCAGCUAAAGAUGCUUGUUACAAAGUGUGAUGACCUGAGUUUCAUCAUCUGGGGACCCACAUAGUGGAAGGAGAGAACCCACGUCAGCACCUGUCCUCUGACCUCCAUUGCUGUGGCACAAAUACACAGUAAUGUGACACAGACUAGAGUCAUCUGGGAAGAGGGAACCUCAGUUCAGGGAGGGCUCCGUCAGACUGGUCUGAAGGCAUUGUCUUGAUUAUUGGUUGAAGUGGGAGGGCCCAGUCCCCUGCAGGCAUUGACACCCUUGGGCAGAUGGGCUGGAAGGGGAGGAAGAAAGAUGAACAUGAACUUGGGAACAAAUGGGUAAGCGAUGCCUCUCCAAGGUUCCUGCCUCUCAUCCAGUUUGAGUUCCUGCCUGGCAACCUCUCUCUGCAACCAGCUGUGAUCAGGGCGUGGCAGGCAAAGAAACACUUUCCUCCCCAAGACGCUUUUGGCCAGGGCUUUAUCACUGAAAUACAAAGCAUAUAAACACACACAUACACACACACACACACACACACACACACACAAACAAACAAACAAACAAACACAUAAUAAAGUUAGUGUUAAACCUUAGCUGGGAUUUUUUUUUUAAAGUAAGAGACUAUUUUGUCUGCUUUGGACCAGGGCUUUAUCACAGAAAUAUAAAACAAAUCAAUACACACACACACACACACACACACACACACACACACACACACACAGAGAGAGAGAGAGAGUGAGAGAGAGAGAGAGAGAGAGGGAGAGAGAGAGAGAGAGAGAGAGAGAGAAUACAUAAGAAAAUAAAUAAAUAAAAGUUGAUACAAAACUUUGACCAGGUUAUAAAAAUCAAGUAAGAGGCUGGACUGUCUGAAUGAUUUUCUGUUCCUAGUUUUGGUUCAAUAUUUUCUUAAAGCGAUGCUUCCCAUUAUUUUUUUAUGGAUUGUGUUCUGCAAUCACACGGAGGGUUUUCAAAGACCCUGAUCACUCUAUAAUUUUUAAGAAACAAUAUUCUGUUUUUAUAUUCAGUUUAAUGGCUUUCUCUACCAUCCUGUAGCUCUGAAGCCGGGGAUGAUAAAUCAAAAACUAAUACUUCCAAGCACCUCACAAAAAUAAGAGCCUCUGAUAGAUUAAAUGUAGGCUAAAUGAGGCCCAUGGCUGAUUGGUUCUAAUUAGACGUAAGGUAAAUGUUCUCACAGCUGCGCGGGCUCUCCACACUGCCCUUUGCAGAAUCAUUUGAAAAUAUUUUGGGUCUGCUGUUGCUGAGACAAUAUGGCUUGGCAGCCUAUUGCUAACUUCAUAAGCUUGACACAUUCGUCAUGUAGACAAUGUUCUUUAUAUGCAAAGCUGUCAGGCAGACUGAGUCUAUAAUUCUUCAGUGCAUGAAAUCAUAUGAUGAAGCCCCGGUAUCAAAUUGGAAGCUGUGCUGGCGUUUGGAAUCUUUCAGGCAUGGGUUAGAAUUGUUUUAUGACAGAUACUCUUUUUACGACAUUCAUCAGUUAUGUUUUUGCAGCAUAACUCUAACUGUAGGUCUGCCUUUUUUGCUUGUUUGUUACUGUUGCUGUUUACAUAUUGGAUGAUGAGCCUGCUUCUAGGUUAUGUUUGACAUCGUGUGUGUGUGUGUGUGUGUGUGUGUGUGUGUGUGUCUGUGCAUAGGAGUUCGACUGCUCAUGCACACAUGAGGAAGCCAGAGGAAAAUGUCAGAUGUCACCUAACUCUGACUUAUUCUUUUGAGACAGAGCCAGUGAACCUGGAGUCAGACCAGCUGGCUUGCAAGCACCGAAGAGCUUCUCGCUUCUGCCCUAUGCUGGUGUUGCAAGCCGCUGGUUUUUUGCGUGGUUGCUGAGCCUUGAAUUGAGGAUGUUGUUUUACCUACUGAGCCAUUUCCUCACCUCUAUGCUUGGAUGUUUUAAAAGGACUACCUUCACCCUCACUCUUGCUUUCCAGACCCGCUCCAGAAGGUAGGAGGCAGCAGUUAUCUGCUUCCUUGGUUUGAUUAGCUCUCCAAAGAUAACACACAUCAAUGCACAUAAAGUGUCGCUUCAUCCCAGAAGUGCAAGCUGUGUGUGAUACCAAGCUCAUGUUGGACUGACCAGUGGGAGAAUCCAUACAAAGUCUGCAUAUAGCCCAAGGGGGUGGAUUUGGGAGGGUCAGUUUACAUAUUUUAUGCAGUGGUGAAAGUUCUCAAGAAAGCGAGCCACCCAUGGCAGCUUCGGGGGCUAAAUGAGGAAAGGAACGGCUUGAAGAAUGCACACAGCCCAUGUGCUUCAGGCAGCCCCUUGGCAAGCAAGUUCCUGUUGCAGAGUGGGCUGCCCGCCAACACUCUGCUAAACACUCCCCUGUGCUUCAUGCCCUGGAAUGUGGGAGACGCUGUAACUCUGGGAAGGCCCAUUCUAUAAUGUCUGUCAUGGCUAGAGCUUGCCAGGCCUCAGAGCCACCCAUCUCAGAACCCAACAUGGCAGGGACAGGGUUUGGCCUGAGCGUGAAGCUGCUGAGAUGUGCACUCUAGUCUCUCUCUCUCUCUCUCUCUCUCUCUCUCUCUCUCUCUCUCUCUCUCUCUCUCUCUCUCUCAUUUCUUCCCUCCUCCACCCCUUCCUCCUCCUGAAUUGUUUUAUUUCUGAAGGGACGCCUGCUUUGCAUGUUUUGGAAUGAUUAUAAGAUGUCCACGGUGAGCAACUCUCUCUUGGGUGUGGGGCUGUGCAAACCCGAUUUCCCAGCUGCUCAGCCUUUCUGGUUUUUCUUAACAAAAGAAAACCCGUUCUUCUGCGGCCCCAUAAGUUCACUGCAAAGCCUCCAUCUGGAACGAAUUCGGCAUCUUUAACAAAUAUGUGUUCUCUCUUCAAAACCCAUCUAAAAAUAGUGCUCAGGCAAGGCAGACGAAAAUAUUUUGACGUUUUCGGUGUUUCGUGGGGUAAGCACAGUUUGAAACAGGCUGUCGGUUAAUUUUCACACGAGCAAGAGCCGAUGUACUUUUUCUGUCUGCGUGCACAGUGUAUUUUACUCCAGGGUGAUUUCUGAUUCAAAACAUAACAUAGCAAUUGUGUUUGUUAGAAAGCCCAGCUUUUAUCACAGCUGGCCCUCAUACAGAAUUCAGGUUACAAGUACCCAAAGAGAAAUGUUCAAUUGAGUUCUCCUGACAUAUGACAGUAUUCUUAAAAAAAAAAUAGUUUUGCGUGAGGAAAAACAUAGCUAUCCUAAGAGGAGUCCUUAUGAUCUACAUUGCAAAUCAUAUUAAGGUGUUGACUUCAGUUCCAAAUGAGGGUUUGCCCUUUUAAGCCAAGUGCCUCUGCCACAUGUCCUUAUCUGGGAGUCUGACACAGGAUUAUCACUAUAAGGGCAGCCUGGGCUAAACAGUGAUAAUGCUCAAAAACAAAAAUAGAAAAGAAAAAGAAAGAAAAGAAAGGCUGCAAGGUUGGCAGAGCAGCUAAGAACACUUUCUACUCUUGCAAAAGCAACCGAAUCCAGUUCCCCACAUCUGUGUCAGGCAGCUCAUGACUGCCACAAACUUCAGGUCUAUGGGAGGUGAUGCUCUCUUCUGGCUUCCGUGUGCACUGAACACAUGUGCAUACACACUUCGAAACAAAUAUAAAGCAGUAUAUCUAAUAUUACAGACCCAGGAAAUGUUUUAAAAGUCUUCAAAAAGCAGAAUGCAUUCUGUCAUUUAUUAAUUAAUCAGCUACUAUGUGUUAACCACUGUGAAAGAGAUUCCAUAUAUAGGCCAUAUAAAGUGUAAUAGCUAUACAGCUACAUGCUUUAAUUGACUCAUGUGAAUUUUUGACUCUGUGAUGGAGAACUGAAGCUGGCAAGGUUUAGCACAUGGCUCUAGGCGAUGUGGGUGGUUCACAUUGAGAAACAUAAUCAAACCAAGCCUCAUACUCUGCUUCCCGAUUUUACAUCCUCUUUGAGUAAAGAAGAAAAGAGUAAUUAUUUAUCUUUUUGUAUAAUAUCCAUAUUUAAAUUAUUAGACAAAGUCAAGUUCAGAUCCAGUGCAUCUCCUUUUUCUUGGCUCUCUAAUACUCUCUGAUGCUCUAACAUAUAGAUCCAGUGUAUCUCCUUUUUCUUGGCUCUCUAAUACUCUCUGAUGCUCUAAUGUAUAGAGUCUGGGACUGGAUUUUUAACAAGGUUAUCAUUAGAGCCUCCUUGUUUCAUUUUGUUAUCUUAUAGAUCUCCAUAAAAUCAGGGGGAAAUGUUGCAACUUAAAAUUGAUGGAGAUGUAGACAAGUGUUUAUUAAUUAUUGAAAACAUGGCUAAAAUAGAAUCAAUUACUGGUAGCUGGCAUGUCCUUUUAGGUAGGUUUUUAACGUUUGGGAAUUCUCUUGUUUGAUCAAAACUGCUCUUCCUAUAAUAAGCACAGAUUCUGUUUGGUGCAGUCAGCUUUAAGAGCCCAAACAAUGAGAACUGUUCAGGUUUAGAUGCACAGCCCAGUGUCACACUGCUGUUCGUUCUCUGAAUGCCUAGAAUCCCAGAUGCAGAGCAGUAGGUUGCAUGCAGUGAGGUGCAUCUCCUUAGGUUGCAGCACAAAACACCAUCUUGAGGCUGUAGUCUAGAAAAGAGUGAAUUAGUUGGGAAAUAAGCCCAUUGCUGUCCCAAUUCCCAGGAUUGAACUUGGGUCUUCUACCUUUGCAUCUCCAUUUUAAAUAUGUUUUUAAUAGGUUCAACAGUACCUAGCAGCAGACUCUGCACCCAAGACCAAGGAAAGCUCAUAAUAGAAAGGUCUGGACCCAAUCUACAUUCUGCAUGUCUGGGUCUCUCUCUCCCUCUCUCUCUUUUCUUUUCUCCUAAAAGCCACAACGAUUUUGUCUUUGAUUUGCAUUCAUUUUUAUGUGCCAACUACAAACUAUCAGUCCCAGCAUCUUAGACACUAUAAAUGAGGCUUAGCAUGUAUUUUAUACUUCAUCAGUGAAUUAUAUAAUAGCAAGUGAGGUGUCUCAUACUUUCCAGAUUGACGUCAGUUGAGGCACCAGAAAAGAGUAAACUGGCUUGCCUUCAGUUCUAUAAUCAUGGCCCUUGUCGACUAUAGACCAGAAUCUCUCCUGCAAAAGUUUAGCAUAGUGAGCUUUCAAAGUGUGGCCCCUUAAAUAGCAGCUGCAACACCUUCCAGGAAGUUGGAAUUAAUGUAUAUCUUCAGAUACCUUCCCAGACUGACUGAGUCAGAAGAUGUGCACGGGACUUAGCGAUCUGUGCCUUUAAACCUUUCUGAGGGCUGAGACUCCAUUAGUAAAGUGUCUAGACAGCAUGAGGGCCUGAGUUUGACUCCUUAGAAGCCAUAAGGAAAAGGAAAACAAAACCCAAACUGGGCGUGGUGGCCUGCAUUCAUAAUGUUAGAGCCAAAUAGGCAAACACCGGCAGAUCCCCGGAGCUGCUCACCAGACGUCCUGGCUUAUCCUAGGAGCUCUGGAAUGGCAGGAGACCCUGUGUCAAAAAUCUACUGUGGACUGCUCCUGGAGAAUGUCAACCAAAGUUAUCUUCUGGCCAGUACAUGCAAUGGUAUUCAUAUGCAUUUGCACACACUUAUACGCACAUGUAUAUACACAUACACACACAUAUACAUUUACACACUCACACAUGCAUAAACACACACAUAUGCAUACAAACAUGAGCACAUGCAUGUGUACACAUUCAUACACAUGUGCACACAUGCACUUGCUAUGCUCACACAUGAACAUACAUGCAUUCACAUACCUGUACGUGCACACACUGUUUUAAUUAGGGUUUUACUGCUGUGAACAGACACCAUGACCAAAGCAACUCUCAUAAGGACAACAUUGAAUUGGAACUGGCUUACAGGUUCAGAGGAUUAGUUAAUUAUCAUCAAGGCAGGAACAUGGCAGCAUCCAAGCAGGUGUGGUGCAGGAGGAGCUGAGAGUUCUACAUCUUCAUCUGAAGGCUGCUAGCAGAAUACUGGCUUCCAGGCAGCUAGGUCAAGGGUAUUAAAGCCCACACCCACAAGCCCACACUUACUCCAGUGAGGCCACAUCUCCUAACAGUGCCACUCCCUGUGCCAACCACACACACACACACACACACACACACACACACACACACACACACACAAAACCCUACCUUUCAGGUAGUCCUGAUGAACACUCAUAUAUAAAAGCUACCAUUCCACCUAUUUAGAUUAUACCAGAGAGGUUUUGUUCCCUUUCUUUCUGCUCCCCUCUGUUUCUUCUUUCUCUUAUCCCUUCCCCGAAUAAUUUAAUUCCUCCCUGGUACUAUUUUUGUUCUGUAAAUACCUCAGAUUCUUUGUUCUACAUAAUUAAUGACUUUAAAAUAUCUAUGUUAUUAAGAUGUCACUAUGUCAGCUGUCAUUUGGGACUCCUGACAGUGUUUUGGAUCAAGCUUGCCCCGCCUAUGUGAACCAGUGGCCCAGCAUCAUCAAAACCUUGGUUUUGGUGUCAUUCUUGGCAAGCAUGUUUGCUCAUUUCAGUGAUGACCUGGCUUGUUAUGUCUGCUUCACUGGCUACUAAUUGGCAUGCUUUUUAACAGACACCACUCAGUGGUCAGCCACUGGAAGCCAGACUCCUCUCUCUCACUAUUCUGUGACUCCUGUGUGUGAUGAUUCCUUGGCGGCAUCUCUGGGAGGCAGGAUUAGCAUGGAAGCCUGCCUUCUCGAGGACCCAGCCCAUAACUCUCCUGCAGAUCAGUUGGGAAGUUUCAUUCUUCAAGCUCUGAUGCUCAAUUCCCCUUUUUUACCAACACUAAAUUCAGUUCAUUAUCCUUGUCUGACUGAAGACAAGUGAAGACCAAAGGCAUGUACAAAUGAAAACAAAACCUAGGAAGCAGCACUGUGGAGUGUGCCCGAUAGGACCUCGGUUCUCUGUUGGUGUUCUGUGUGCUGGUAUGAGCGCCGGGAGCGGGAGGCGGGUCCCCAUAAGUGUGGAGCUGCUGUUUUGAAUUUCUUGUCUUCUGUUGUCCAAAAAUAUCUGAGAAAUGUUAUGUUGCAGACAUUAAUCAUGGUUAUUAAGCAAGAAGAUCGGAGAGCCUCGUAGGUGUUGCUUAACUCCUAACAGCACUACAAGGUGUACAGACAGUGCAGAUAUGCCUUAAUCCUUUGGACUUUUUUAUUUAGAGCAGAAUUUGGGUGGGAAGACAAUUCCACAAGUAAACUGCUUCAUUGCAAGCAGGAAGAUCUGAGUUCAGAUCAGCAGAAACCAUAUAAGACAAAACCACAGCAAAAAUAAAAUAAAAUAAAAGCCCGCAGACUGAUAAUAUCAGGCCUGGAGAGGCAGAGGUGAUUGAUUGGUCCAUGGGGCUGGAUGGACAGACAGCCUAGCCUAUCAGUUAACUGCACCGAAGGCCUAGCCGGCCGGGCGGAACUUGUUUGUCCUUUGGUGCCAAGGUACACAUACAUAUUCAUAUACACAUGUGCAAAGGUGCAUGAACGAACACAUUUAUUCUGAAUGUGAAAAGUUUCAAGAUGGCGGCAGGAGACAAUUCGUCAAGAACACCUUCUAAGCAAGAGCCCCUUGCUUGACAAUGCUCCCCCAAAACUGGCAACUGUCUCCCCUUGGCAACUCUCCCAAUAGAUUUUUCUCCUUUGCCCAAUCCACAGAAGCAGGGGCAAGCUGUCUCCUGACAGAAUGCAGUUUGUAGAGUCUGGUACACAGACAGCAUCUCUCCUCUUAAUGGGGGGAUUUUGAGAAUCAAGGAGUACUUUCUCUGGUGGUCAAAUAAAUUGAAAAUGAACGUGUCUCAAAAUCACUUGUAUCUAUCCCAUUUGUCAAGCUCAUAGCAUCAGCUUCAGGAUUGUAUUAGCCAGCUUUGGCGAAAUGCCAAAUCCUUCUUCAUAUUCAACCGUCAAGAAUCUUUACAGGAGAUUCCAGAACGCCUUUGCUGGAAUCCAUUAUGGCAAGCAGCAGCAAAACCAGUCUGCUACGAUCCCGUGAAAUGAAUUCCGUGUUUUAGGAGAUGUCAAAUAUCCUUGUUUCUUCUGUGUUUGGAUAAGAUAAUUAUAUCCUAGUGUUUCAGGGGCAUAGCCAAAAUGGUAGCAAAUCAAAUACAUUGUAUAUUAUUACCCUUUCAUACAUAGGAAUAUAUAUGACACGUGUGCAUAUAUAUGUAUAAGUAUUAUAUGAACAGUUUAGAAUGAGGUAGAUCCUGUUUGAACAGAUGAAAACCCAUUUUAAUUUGUUUGAAAUAUUCUUGGGUUUGUGUUCUUAGGUUUUAAUCUUCCAGCAGCACAUGAGAGGUUAUGUACAUCACUCCCAGAGUCUAGAGCUGGCCACCAACAAUGACCCUUUUGCCGUUGGGGAGAGCAGAACCAUCUAUGUGUAUAUGUACAUAGGCAAUGCUCUUGUAAAACACAUAUAAAAAGCAGAGAAUUAAGCACUGCAGUCUUCAAUCUUUUCUUAUGGACAGAGGCUGGAGAGAUGGUUCAGCAGUUAAGAGCACUGACUGCUCUUGCUGGGGACUGGAGUUUGGUUCCUAGCACCUAACCCUGGAGGCUCACAAGCACCAGUAACUCUCUCUCUCUCUCUCUCUCUCUCUCUCUCUCUCUCUCUCUCUCUCUCACACACACACACACACACACACACACACUGAAAUAAGUAGUAAGCACUACUCUUUCUAUCAAAUGCAUACAACUGACCUGAUAGUGGUAAUUGAAUAAAAAGUUACAUUCAGACCAUUAAGGCAACAUUCUUAUGUUCUCUGGUCUCCUGAUGGGCCAUUUGGACAGAUAUAGAUCAUCACCCAUCUUUUCAGAUAAAGCAAGAGAUUCAGGGAAGGAUAAUGCUGCCCCUUGCCCCACUGAGGAGCUCCAACACUGGUUGGUCGCACUGCUAAAAUACACACAUUUCCCAUACUGUCUGCCAUCGUCAGGCAAAACAUUGCAAUAUUUCCUCAGUAUCUCACUUGACGAUCUCUCUUCCUUCCAGCUCUUUCAUAUUGAAUAAGUCAUGUAAUUAAUAUUCGACUUGACCAAGGUGCUUAUUAAAGCUCCGGGGAGCUGAGGGGAAUUUUCUUUGCUCUGAUGACCUGGCUGUGUUCUUGUCCUCAGAGCAGGUCAUCACAGCUUGGUUUCCAUAGUGUCCUCUGCUCUGAAUUAACAAUGUGUAUUUAUCCCUGGAAGUCUGUAAUCCCGCUAAGAGGCUCCGCCUAUUUAUCAUGUGUAGAAUUGUUAUCAUCUUCCAUCUUUCACUAUCUAAAACAAUAAUUACCCUCGCACAAAGGCAUUUUCCUUUUGAGAGAGUAAAGCCGUGCUCUGCACUUUAAGGACCAUGACAAACCCUUGCUAAUUGGAUUUUAUUUGACUGGAUUAAAAUCAGAGGGGCGAAUUUUCUGUUGUCUGUAACUUCACCUUUAUGGCUUGGCCUUCUCAAAGCAUUGUGUGCUCAGGUAAGAUUCAUCUCCAGGAACACAGAUAGUGUAGUCAAAGAGGAGAGAGUUGCAGAAAGAUACAAUGAACCUUGAUGCAUUCAUUGGAAGAUACAUUUUCAAACUGAAACUGUGGGGAUAAAUAUAGAUUGGUUCUGAGUUCUGAGCGCAGUCAGGAAGGGGCACCUUUCAUGUGAACACAGAGAGGCAACUGGUUUCCUGGCAAAUGGUUUAGCAAUAACCUGUGAGGUUCCUGAUGGAUUGCAAUCACUCUGUAGUCUGAAAACGGAACAGUGGUGUUACUUAAAAACAAACAAACAAACAAAAAACAAGCAAACAAAAAAAUCUGUCCUUUAAAAUAUGACUCUGGGGAUAAGAGUAUAGAAAUAGCUAAUGUAGGCCACGGAAACGUAAUGGCUCACACAGCACAACCUACCUGAACACCUGAAAUAACUUUAAGGGGGCGACUGGGGGGUUUUCUUAGUUGCCAAGAAUAUAAUUACCUAUUUUGAGCAGUUAUGUUAAAUUCUGUAAUUGUACUUUGUGUCAGAUGAUUUAUUUAUUGAUUGAUUAUUUAAUUUAUUUAUUUAGUCAGACGAUCAAUAAUAAAUCUUCUUUACAUUAUAUAAACAGUCUGUGUGUUUGAGGAUGAGACAGAGAGGAUCAUGGUUUCUUCCUCAGUAUAAAUAUUUGUCUUUAAGUUUGUAAGAAAAGAGACACACUCAAAAGCCAAAAUGCAAAAUACAAAAACAAAAAACCAAAACCAUUCUUUUUCAUUAUAUUAAGCAGCUUGUAGGGGGAAAAGUGAUUUUUUUUUCUGGCUCAUCUCAGAGACUGAAAUUCUAAACGUAUAUGUAAUAUAUCAUACACGUAAGUAUGACAUGACAGUAAAGGUUUAGGUAUUAGGAAAGAUUUUUUAGAAAUUUCUGAAAUGUUUGUAAAUCUGUAUAAUAACUAUUUAGUGACAUAUUCGUGUCUAUUGAUUUUAUUACAUUUUACUUAUUUAUCUAUUUAGUGCGUGUGUGUGUGUGUGUGUGUGUGUGUGUGUGUGUGUAUGUGUGUAUGUAUAUUUACAUGCCAUCACAUCAAGUGCAGGUCAGAGGACAGCUUUUAAGAGGUGGUUUUCUCCUUCCACCAUGUAUGUUCCAAGGGUUGAUUUCAAUUCAUCAAGUGAAAUAUGUAUAAAUGACCUGAGGAAGAAUCAUGAUUCCAGCUAAAGUCCUGGGUUCUUAUAUGAUAAUAUUUUGGUAGAAUAGUUCAUAGUCAUGUCUAUAAACGAUGCCAUAGACUUUAUCUCUAAGGAUAGGCCCGAACACGCAAGAAAGUCAUGUGUUUCUGCCUUAAGUAGCCUAACACUGGCAGUGUUGCCAGGAUUAAAUGAACUGCCAUGAUCAGCACGGAACAAUGCAGCUUAACACAUACAAUAUCCUGGUCUAUAUGUGAAUACUUUUGACAAUUUUUAAAACAAACUUUGCUACUAAAGAAAAGUGAUUUACAUUAUAAAUAAGUAAUAUUAACUAAUGUUAAAUAUGCAGUACCUUCUCUUCCAUGGGGCUAUAAUAUUUUCCUCUAAUGAAAAUAAUGUGCUAUUAAAUCCCAGAAAAAGUCCCUAACUUCAAAGGCAGAAGGCAGUGUUCCCCUCACUAGAACACAGAGAAUGGCGGUAAAGGAAUGCAUUGAGGAAACUGGGUCCUAGUGACUCUUUACUCUCUGAAUCACCUCUACUUAGAAAGUAUUUCCAUAAAAUAGUUGAGCAAACACACGGGCAUAAACUGAACCUUCCUCCUGCUAUUGAUCAUAAGGCUAGGAAGUCUCAUGAACCCUGAAAUGAGCAGAGGGCAUUCUCCCCCUGUCUUCUCUUUGAUGUUUUCAGGGCGCUGGCCAGAUCCCUGGUCCUUUUAUCUACAUUGUUCUCGUUCUUAAUUAAGGUAAUGCUCUGCAGACUUACACAGUGGUGUUUACAUUUUAUCAAUAAGAAAGUGAGCUCACACAAUAACAGGGUUAUACAAAGGUGAGUUUUGAACUUAGAGCAUUCAUACAUGUAUAGAAUGAAAGCAGAUCAAACCCACUCCUCAUUUUUCCCCUCCAAGUUCCCCUGGAUCCCUGUCCAUGCUCCCCUCUCAGCUUCAUGUCACACAAUAGCUGUGGCCACAGCUCCUUCCUAAGUGUGUGUUACAUAAUAUAGUGACCCAGGAAGAUGAAAUCACAUCUUGUUGUCUGAGAAGGAUUGCCUGAAUCGUUCUGGCUUAUGGGAAUAUCUGUGAGGGAUUGUUCUGGUUGGCGAUGAUGUACUCAGUGUGUGCUGGAUCGUUAUUUGUCAACUUGACAAAAGCUAGGGUCUUCUGGGAAGAGGGAACUUCAAUUGAGAAAAUGCCUCCAUCAGCUUGGCCUAUAAACAAGUCUUUAGGAGUAUUUUCUUGAUUAAUGAUAGAUAUAGGAGAAUCCAGCCAUCUAUGGGCAUUGCUAUCCCCUAUGUAGGUAUGAGAUACCAGCCUGAGCAAGUCAUGAGGAGUUCCUGCCUCAAUUCCUGCUACCAUGUUCCUGCCUCACUUCCUGCCCUGCCUUCCCUUCAUGAUGAAACAUCAACUGUAAAGGGACAGGGUUUAUCAAAGCAAGCCAGGAUAGGGGGCUCAGCCCACUGUGGGCAGCACUAUCCUUAGGCAGGUGAUCUAGGUUGUAGAUUAACACUGGCAAAACAUAGACCUGUGAGCAAGCCAUCAGUCAGCAUACCUCCAGGCUUCAUACUGUAUAUUUUGGCUGUGACUCAGUUCCUUGCUUCAUGGUAACUUUUCAUGGAGUAGUCAACAACAGAAAAGCAAACUAGAACACUGUAUUUCUUCCAGGAAAGCCGUUUCCUAUCAUCCACGUCAUCUGUCUAUUGCUCUUGCAGUGCACGGGUAUUGUGGACUCUGUGAUGGUAUUAUACAUAGCUUGUAAUACAACAGCAGGACCACAUGGCCUGUGAAACCUCUCCCCAAGAUGGCGGUCACUGUGGUACUGAAAAGGACAACAGAUAAGAUCUCCCCAAAAGUCACAUUCCCCUUAAUUAUUCAAGGGCAAUUGAAAUUCUCUUUUGUUCUGCCUCGCCAGGCCGGUUCAGACCCUUCUUUCGGGAAUUGCUGGUACUGUGCAAGUUCCCAAUCGCAGCGCCUAUUUUUAGUGCCUUAAGGUUUCCUGUGUCUAUAAAUGGCAUUCCCUCUGUGCAGGCUAAUGUCUUAAAUGCAGUCCAAAAUCAAUUAGCUAUUAUGUGCAACAAGGCUGUGCAUUAGCAAGGUGAAUGUUCUCUUGUGUGUUUGAUCGUCGGUAUCUGGCACCCAGACCUCUGGUAAGAAUUGGGGACAGUCCCUGGUGCUUUCCUUGAAGCAACCUAAGAAGCCAGACAACUUCACACACAUGCUUCUCCUGCCUCCCUUCCCUCAACAAACAUGUUAGUCACGUUUUCAAUAUUAAUUACAUAGGCCAUCAAAGCAGAUCACCUAGCCAUUUUAUCCAUAAAGUCUCCUUCAGGAACGGCCACAGAGACGACCCCUAGAGCCUGUCACCACUGACCCUAGCCCAGCUCUGCAGAACUCUUGGUUACAGCAGUCUUAAUUAUCAAACCUCUGAUACCAACCUUCCUAUAGACACCAUUUAGCCCACUUCUAGACAAGACUUGGCAGCCCUAUUUGUCUUGUUAAAGACCCUGAAGUUAAAUUACUGCCUCUUUGUUUUCCUUCAAGGCUCACUUGCUAGUUAUGGUGGAAGAGAGCUAUUGACCGGGUCUUACAUUCAUCUCCACUUCCUUUAUUAUUUUAAAUGAUUUCUCCAGGCUACAGGGCAGCAAUUUGCAUGUCUUGUUCAAUGAAUUCUACCUGAUAGUUCUGUCUAUACCUUUCCUUGGGAAGAGAACAGGAAAUCUGCAAAUGGAUAAAUUGUCUCUUGACAACUCCUGGGUUGAUCUACUCUGGCACAGAAAUGCUGUAGAUGUUAAUGUUCGCCAUGAAGACACUUAUUGACAGGGAGUCCUGCAAUCUUAACAGUAUUGAAGCAAGAGAAGUAUUUUUAUAUUAUUCUUUAGGGUGUGUGUUCAUGUUUAUAUGUGUGUGUGUAUGUGUGUAUGUGUGUGUUUUUAUAUGUGUGUAUGAGUGUGUGUGUUUAUAUGUGUGUAUAUAUGUGUAUGUGUGUAUAUGUGUGUAUGAGUGUGUGUGUUUAUAUGUGUAUGUGUGUAAAUGUGUAUUUUUGUAUAUGUAUGAGUGUGUGUAUGUGUGUGUUUAUAUGUGUAUGUGUGUAUAUGUAUGUUUGUGCAUAUGUGUGUUACAUGUUUGAACGUGUUUGCACAUGUCAAUGUAAUAUGUCUUUCUCUACUGCUCUCCACCUUAGUUUUUGACACAGGGUUUCCCACUGAGCUUGGAGCUUCUUGGUUUGGUUAUGGUGCCUGGCCAGUGAGCUCCUGCCCCCAUUUCCUGGAGUUCCACAACUGGGAUUCCAGUUGGGCCCUUGUUUGUACAUCCUGAUGGAUCAAACUCAAGUCCUCUACCAACUAAGCCAUCUUCCCGGCCCUAGCCCAUUUUUAUCUCUCCCAUGUUUCUGGCUGUAGGCUCUUUUAUUGAAAACUCAAUGUCCACAUGUGCAGAAGGAACAGAUGGAAAUAACUCUUGGGGGACAUAGCUUUUCCCAUCCAUACAUUUCACUUGCCUGGCAUGUGACUUUCUCUUCCAACAUGAUGCGCAUGUCAGCAUGCCACUCACAAGCGUCCAACCAGUUAUAGGGCCCCCAUUUCAACUGUCACUUGCUGCCAAAAGAGGUUUCUCUGACAGAGGCUGAGCGCCAUACUGUUCCAGGAAUAUGCACGUAAAACAUUACAAAGCAAAACAUCAGUAGUAAGUUCCCCCACCGGCCAUGUGGCUUUGAUGUCAAUGACUUAUCCGUGAAAUUGGGCUUGUUAUUCCAGCCCUCUGGCGAGAUUUCUAACUAGGAUGGGAUACGGAAGGGGCACACUGGAGAAAAACAGGGAACUUUUACAUACACCCAGAGCUGGUCUGUGUUAGUGUCAUUCUCCAUUGGACUGCCUUGCUCCCUGUUAGAUUAGAAAGAUGGUCAUAGAAAAACAGCAGAUACCAUUGUGUAGAAUGGGACUCAGGAUUUUGUGUGCAUCAAAGCAGUGAAAGCUGUGUUCUUGAGCUACCCAAAUGAGGGGGAGAUGCAGAUUUGUUUCUGCUUUAUAUUUCCAUUUAAGCUAAUUUCUGGUAUGAUGUGAAUUAUAGAGAAGGCAUUGUGGUUUGAAUGCCGUAUCACCCCUAGUCUCAGGCAUUUGAGCACCUGGCCCCAAUUGAUGAUGCUUUUUGGUGAGGCUUUGACCAUAUGGCUUUAUUGGAGGAAGCGUGUCACUGGAGGCUUGGGGAGCUUAAAGAUUUCCCUCCCUCUCAGUUCCCUCUCUGUGCAUGCAUCUUGCUUGCGGUUUGAGAUGUGGGCCCUCGCUGGCUGCUUUAGCCACCCUGCCUGCAGUUCUGUAGUUUCUGCUCUGACAUCUGUACUCUAGCCAUCUGGUACCAUAACCCCAAAUUAACUCUUUCUUCUAUAAGUUGCCUUGGUCAAUGGUGUUUCAUCACAGCAGCAGGAACACAAGUAACAGAGGCAUUAAGUCUUACAAGUUCAGAACACCCAAGGUUCCCUGGAUUCAUUGUAACACAGUAACACAGGCAUUACAAGUUCAGAACACAAGUAACACUGGCAUUAAGUCUUACAAGUUCAGAACACCCAAGGUUCCCUGGAUCAGAUGGGCGCCAAGCUAUUGUGAGAAACAGUGCUUCUCCCAGGCUUCUGUUUACCCAGCAGUUACAUUUCUCUAUCCCCGUGAGAGCUGAGGUUUGAUGUUGCAAGGUGGGAACUCUCAGAGUACAAAGAAAAUAUCCUAUGGGAGAACUCCUUUGGCCCCAAAGCCUAACAUUUCAAUAGCUGUUGACCGUAACUUUCAAGCUAAGAGAGAUGUGAACAGCGGGUUCUUGCCAGGUUUGAGGCUUUCCUCCCUAUUUAUGUUCUGCAAAGCCUGAUGGUGGGUUUUCAUUUGAUGCCUUAGGCUACAUGAAAAAGUUUUACCAAGAAUGUUGGGAAUUCCAACAGGAAGUGUUGGGGCUCUGGAGGCUGAUGGGAAAGGGGAAGAAAGGAGAGUUGUGAAUGAUCCUGCCCGUUCCUGCAAUUUGAGGUCAUGCUCUUUUUAACAUCACACCUGAUCUGCUUAGGGGAAUGUUGGCAAACCAUCAGGCUAACUUCCCAGCAUUCUGAAGCUCAAGGCAAGCUGGGAGUCUGCGAGUGGCGCGUUCAUAGGUGAGAGUUUCAUGUGCUGCUUUCAGGUUGUUAAUUUAAAAACAAAUGUUUAAUAAAUAGGCCCUCUUAAUUCUAAUACAUGAGACUAACUAAAAUAAACUUGGUAGGCAAAAGAGUGGUCUCGGGACCCAUUUGUUUUAAUUUAGUAAAGCCAAUCACUCCUUUAAUCCUGCUAAAUUAUAGCCUACAUUGUAUAUUCUUGCUAAUUAAAGUUAUUAUCUAUGGGGGGGGGAGCUGUGUUCAGGACGGGGCAGGAGUGGACCUCUUGGGAAGACUGCCAUUUUGAGGAAUUGCAGGAAAGAGUAAAUUAUGUGGAUCUCACACAGCCACGGGGCUGUGAUGAAGUUCCUACCACUGAAAUUCAGGACUUGUGGUCCCGAUAAGGUUUAGAUGGAAUCGCAGUCUCAAUGGCUUGCUUUGGGAGCAGUGUACGGUAGACAGAGAACUCACAGUCUCCUGGGUUAAACUAGGAAGACAGAGGGAGUGCUAACCUAUCCUUUAAAACAUAGUCUUAAAGUUUUAAGACAUUCAUGUGUAUAAGUGUAUUGCUCUAAUGUAGGUCUGUGUACCACAUGUAUGUCCAGUGCCCACAGAGGCAAGAAGAGGGUACAGGAUCCCCCUGAAAUGGGGCUGCAGACAGUCGUGAGCUGUCCUGUAGGUUUGGAGAACUAAACCCAAGUCCUGUGCAAGAGCAACAAGUGCUCUAAAUCACUAAAACCAUGCGUCCAGCCAUAGUUAUUUCCUACUAACUAUUUUCUACUAACAUUCCAUAGUCAUAUGAAACACCUUGGCAGCCAAGAUGAUUCCUGGCUUCAACAAUGUCAAGAAUGUACUCAUAGUAAGAACAUAGCUGAAACAUUUUGGAAAGGAACACAAGUGUGCUGAGCCAUGUACAUCAAGAGCAGAUGAGAUGAGCAGUAAGUGAUUUUCCAGGUUCCCACUGUUAUCGAAGUUGGGGGAUCACACUCUGGGCUCCAAGCUAGGUUCAGCCACCUGUCCCCGGUGAGCCAACUAAAAGAUCUAAAUUAUUAGCAGACACAGGAAAAAAAAAAAAA